ACUUUUCUUGCUCAGUUAUUGUCUUUGAGAUUCUUACCAACGAGUUUUGAAGCUGCUUCGGAAUAUUCAGUUCCUAUCUUUUUGAUUCACAACAAGUCUGAUUUGUUACGUGCAUAUUGUGUCGCUUUGCCAUCUGCUCUGUUUGUGCAUACUUCCUUUUGUGUCGCUCUCUGUUCUGCGCGCUAUUGGUUUUUUUAACUCUGGUGCUGUUUAUAAACAAGAGAUGGUAGACAUUCAUCGAAGUCUAGCUACCGCCUCGAGGAUCAUUGAAGCAACAUCAUUAGGGAAUAUUUAGAUAUUUUAUGGCUUAUAAUUUUGCUACAGUUGUUUUGAAUGUUCAGUCAUUAGUGUUUCGAUUUUUUGAAUGUUUAAAUUUGGUGCUAUAUCUUUUGUUUUAGUUAAGUUGAUGUAUGGAUCAAACUUCUUACUCUUGAAUUAUGUAUAUUUUUGCAUUUCAAGUCUUUAGUAAUAUAU
rnacentral:lncRNA from 1 species